rnacentral:rRNA from 1 species
AAUGUCUGGUGUAAUAAGUUUCACUGGGUCCAUUGUGUUGAAGCGUGCUUCUAAUCGUCCGCAAGGACAAUUACUUUGACUCUGGCUGAAAUCAGGUAGGACUACCCGCUGAACUUAAGCAUAUCAAUAAGCGGAGGAAAAGAAACUAACAAGGAUUCCCCUAGUAACGGCGAGUGAAGCGGGAAGAGCUCAAAUUUGAAAUCUGGCAGUCUUCGAUUGUCCGAGUUGUAAUCUAUAGAGGCGUUUUCCGUGCCGGACCGUGUCCAAGUCUCCUGGAAAGGAGUAUCAAAGAGGGUGAUAAUCCCGUACUUAACACGACCACCGGUGCUCUGUGAUACGUCUUCUACGAGUCGAGUUGUUUGGGAAUGCAGCUCAAAAUGGGUGGUGAAUUCCAUCUAAAGCUAAAUAUUGGCGAGAGACCGAUAGCGAACAAGUACCGUGAGGGAAAGAUGAAAAGCACUUUGGAAAGAGAGUUAAACAGUACGUGAAAUUGUUGAAAGGGAAACGAUGAAGUCAGUCGUGUUCUUUGGAUUCAGCCAGUUCUGCUGGUCUACUUCCUUGGAACGGGUCAACAUCAGUUUUGUCCGGUGGAUAAAGGUAGUAGGAAUGUGACUUCUCCGGAAGUGUUAUAGCCUAUUAUCACAUACACUGGGUGAGACUGAGGACUGCAGCUCGCCUUUAUGGCCGGCCUU